rnacentral:rRNA from 1 species
AAACAACAGCGAGAUGCUGCCAGGAAGGGCGUCGUGAGGAAGAAGGCAGUGACCCGCUCCGUCAAGGCUGGGCUCCAGUUCCCCGUCGGCCGCAUCGGGCGCUACCUCAAGAAGGGCCGCUACGCGCAGCGCGUCGGCUCCGGCGCCCCGGUCUACCUCGCCGCCGUUCUUGAGUACCUCGCCGCCGAGGUCCUGGAGCUCGCCGGCGACGCGGCCAAGGAAAGCAAGAAGGCGCGCAUCAUCCCGCGCCACCUGAUGAUAGCCGUCCAGGGCGACCCGGAGAUCAGCCGGCUGCUCGCCGGCGUCACCAUCGCCCACGGCGGCGUGGUGCCCUACAUCAACUCCGCGCUGCUCCCCAAGAAGAAGGCCGCCGGCGCCGCAGAGAAGUCCCCCAAGAAGACGGCCGCCGCUACCAAGUCCCCCAAGAAGACGGCCGCCGCUACCAAGUCCCCCAAGAAGACGGCCGCCGCUACCAAGUCCCCCAAGUAG